rnacentral:rRNA from 1 species
GAUGAACGCUGGCGGCGUGCUUAACACAUGCAAGUCGAGCGAGAAACUACAUGCAGACACUUCGGUAGAAGCGAGUAGCGGAAAGCGGCGGACGGGUGAGUAACGCGUAGGCAACCUGCCCUUCACAGAGGUAUAGCCUCGGGAAACCGGGAUUAAAACCGCAUAAAAUCAUAGGUUCGCAUGAACCAAAGGUCAAAGAUUUAUCGGUGAAGGAUGGGCCUGCGUCUGAUUAGCUGGUUGGUAGGGUAAAAGCCUACCAAGGCGACGAUCAGUAGCCGACCUGAGAGGGUGAUCGGCCACAUUGGAACUGAGACACGGUCCAAACUCCUACGGGAGGCAGCAGUGGGGGAUAUUGCACAAUGGGGGAAACCCUGAUGCAGCAACCCGCGUGAGGUAUGAAGGCCUUUGGGUUGUAAGCCUCUGUCCUAGGGGAAGAAAAAAAUGACGGUACCCGAGGAGGAAGC